GGGGGGGGGUCUAUACAUGCAAGUCGAGCGGACAGAUGGGAGCUUGCUCCCUGAUGUUAGCGGCGGACGGGUGAGUAACACGUGGGUAACCUGCCUGUAAGACUGGGAUAACUCCGGGAAACCGGGGCUAAUACCGGAUGGUUGUCUGAACCGCAUGGUUCAGACAUAAAAGGUGGCUUCGGCUACCACUUACAGAUGGACCCGCGGCGCAUUAGCUAGUUGGUGAGGUAACGGCUCACCAAGGCGACGAUGCGUAGCCGACCUGAGAGGGUGAUCGGCCACACUGGGACUGAGACACGGCCCAGACUCCUACGGGAGGCAGCAGUAGGGAAUCUUCCGCAAUGGACGAAAGUCUGACGGAGCAACGCCGCGUGAGUGAUGAAGGUUUUCGGAUCGUAAAGCUCUGUUGUUAGGGAAGAACAAGUGCCGUUCAAAUAGGGCGGCACCUUGACGGUACCUAACCAGAAAGCCACGGCUAACUACGUGCCAGCAGCCGCGGUAAUACGUAGGUGGCAAGCGUUGUCCGGAAUUAUUGGGCGUAAAGGGCUCGCAGGCGGUUUCUUAAGUCUGAUGUGAAAGCCCCCGGCUCAACCGGGGAGGGUCAUUGGAAACUGGGGAACUUGAGUGCAGAAGAGGAGAGUGGAAUUCCACGUGUAGCGGUGAAAUGCGUAGAGAUGUGGAGGAACACCAGUGGCGAAGGCGACUCUCUGGUCUGUAACUGACGCUGAGGAGCGAAAGCGUGGGGAGCGAACAGGAUUAGAUA
rnacentral:rRNA from 1 species